GUGGGCAUAGCUCAGUGGUAGAGCACCUGCUUAGUAUCCAAGAGGUCCAGGGUUCAAUUCCCAGUACCUCCA
rnacentral:tRNA from 1 species